rnacentral:rRNA from 1 species
GACGAACGCUGGCGGCGUGCCUAAUACAUGCAAGUCGAGCGGGCCUCCGGAGGUGCUUGCACCUCCGGAAGGCCAGCGGCGGACGGGUGAGUAACACGUGGGCAACCUGCCUUUGAGGCCGGGAUAACACCGGGAAACCGGUGCUAAUACCGGAUACGUCCUCUUUCGCGCCUGCGAGAGGGGAGAAAGACGGUCUUUAAGGCCGUCGCUCAAAGAGGGGCCCGCGGCGCAUUAGCUGGUUGGUGGGGUAAGGGCCUACCAAGGCGACGAUGCGUUGCCGACCUGAGAGGGUGAUCGGCCACACUGGGACUGAGACACGGCCCAGACUCCUGCGGGAGGCAGCAGUAGGGAAUCAUCCGCAAUGGGCGAAAGCCUGACGGUGCAACGCCGCGUGAGUGAGGAAGGUUUUCGGAUCGUAAAGCUCUGUUGUGAGGGAAGAACAGCUUCCGGAGGAAAUGCCGGAGGUUUGCCGGUACCUCACCAGAAAGCCCCGGCUAACUACGUGCCAGCCGCCGCGGUAA